rnacentral:rRNA from 1 species
UACGUAGGGUGCGAGCGUUAAUCGGAAUUACUGGGCGUAAAGCGUGCGUAGGCGGUUCGUUAAGUCAGCUGUGAAAGCCCCGGGCUCAACCUGGGAACUGCGGUUGAAACUGGCGAACUAGAAUCUGGCAGAGGGGGGUGGAAUUCCACGUGUAGCAGUGAAAUGCGUAGAGAUGUGGGGGAACACCGAUGGCGAAGGCAGCCCCCUGGGCUGAGAUUGACGCUCAGGCACGAAAGCGUGGGGAGCAAACAGGG